AGUUCGGAUUGGAGUCUGCAACCCGACUCCAUGAAGCUGGAUUCGCUAGUAAUCGCGCAUCAGCCACGGCGCGGUGAAUACGUUCCCGGGCCUUGUACACACCGCCCGUCAAGCCAUGGAAGCCGGGGGGUGCCUGAAGUGCGCUGCCGCAAGGAGCGCCCUAGGGUAAAACCGGUGACUGGGGCUAAGUCGUAACAAGGUAGC
rnacentral:rRNA from 1 species